ensembl:lncRNA
CUUAUUUGCAAGGUGUCAAGAAACCACUUUUUUUUCUUCCCUUUUCUACUAGAGGAUGAAAAGAUUCUUCUGUAGCCAAAAGGGUCUGCUAUCAUUUUUGGGCAGCUUGAGCGGUAGAGAUGUUAUUAGCAUAAAUUAUCUCCCCCACCAAAGAGAUAGGAACAUGCUAGCUCCUUUCUGCUUUUCACACUUAAUUGCCCUAUUUACUGAACAGUUGCCCAUGGACAACAAAUGCACACACGCUCCGAGAUGCAUGCAGGACAACCGGCAGACACAAGCCAAAUAGGGCAUGAGUGAUGCUCUGAACUAUCUGCCAAACAGCAUUAGAUACAGUACGGCUCGGGAGGCCAUUCAGACUCCUGUUGGACUGGAAAUCCACAAUCACGGCGGUCUCCUGCCGCAGCAGCAGCAUGCAACUAAAAGAAAAAAAAAAAAAAAAAGCCUCAUUGAAGUGACCCAGUAAGCAAGAGUGAGAAAGCCGCCACGUCCGAGCUGCAGGGUCACCGUCGGCGGCAGCGAGGAUUUAAAGCGACCCGGGCCAGGGGGCACCCCUAAACGUCCGCCGCGAUCUACGGCACCUUUUCAGCCGGCCGCCGAUCAACAACAAGGACCAGAAGCGUUCAACCUGUUAUGAGAAGGAACCUUCUCACCUGAUCACGGCGCGGGGAUGUAAUGAGUCGCCACGCGGCGAAUCCACAAGUGGUCGUCGUGUCUUUGUUGUAAACACUGGAAGCAUGUUUUUAUGAAAUGAGUUAUAGUGAACGCCAAACUACUAGUUAUGCACAGAGAGGUAUUUUGAGUGAAAAUAAAUUGAAGUAAAAUGUUAACAAGGUUGAAACAAUUGAUUUGUAGAAAAUGAUUUUGAAAAUUGAUCCACUAAUUGGUGCACUGUGGUUACAGCUUGACCAACGUGAUGCUUUAUUGGAUUUCUGUCUAUUUAAUUUGAUGGCAAUUUUAAUAUAUCUGUUUGGGAUCCAUGUGACAAAGCCACUGAAAAACAACACAUGCGGCUAAAAAAUAGGAUAAAAAAAAUAAAAAGAUCUGCA